rnacentral:lncRNA from 1 species
CCAAGCAUCAAAAUGAUUUAGGAUCAUCUUAUCAGAGUCAACAUGGAUCUCUAGAAUAGGAAAGGAUUGCCCAAUGCUGGAGUCCCUAGGUCUUCUUAGAGAGAGAAAGUGGGCAAGAGAGAGAAAGUAGAGAGAAAAUAGCAUCUAGGAUCCCAUCAUCAUCUAGAGAGAGAAAGUAGAAGGAGAGAGAAAUAUUAGAUAGAAGGGGAGAGAUAAGAGAGAGAGAACCCUAGAGAGAUACAAGAGAGAGAAAGUAGAGAGAGUCUUCAUAUUUCUCAAAAGAAAAAUUCAUGAUCAAGAUCAUCAGUGAUCAUGCCGGGAUGACUCAAUAGAGAUUAAAAGUGAUUAAAUUCUAUGAAUAUCUGUCCAGGGCUAGAUUGGGAUCCAACCUACUGCACAGAUAUCAAAGUAAUUUUGAAUCUUUUUGAAAAGAUCAUAUCAAGUUUAUACUGGAGUCCAUGGAUCAGAUAAAGAGAGAGAAAGAGGGAGAGGAUAGAAAGAGAC